rnacentral:tRNA from 1 species
GGGGUUGUGGCGUAACUUGGCAGCGCAGCAGGCUCCAGAUGUUUAACUUGAAAUGAGCCCAAAAGGCAAUGAUGAUGAUCUGGAAAGCAGACUAAAUAUGAAGUAACCUGCUGGUCCGGGUUCAAAUCCCGGCAACCCCA